GACGAACGCUGGCGGCGUGCCUAAUACAUGCAAGUCGAGCGCAGGAAGCUGACGGAACUCUUCGGAGGGAAGGCAGCGGAAUGAGCGGCGGACGGGUGAGUAACACGUAAGGAACCUGCCUCAAGGAUUGGGAUAACUCCGAGAAAUCGGAGCUAAUACCGGAUAGUUCAACGGACCGCAUGGUCCGCUGACGAAAGGCGCUCCGGCGUCACCUUGAGAUGGCCUUGCGGUGCAUUAGCUAGUUGGUGGGGUAACGGCCCACCAAGGCGACGAUGCAUAGCCGACCUGAGAGGGUGACCGGCCACACUGGGACUGAGACACGGCCCAGACUCCUACGGGAGGCAGCAGUAGGGAAUCGUCCAAAAUGGACGAAAGUCUGAUGGAGCAACGCCGCGUGAGUGAUGAAGGUUUUCGGAUCGUAAAACUCUGUUGUAAGGGAAGAACACGUACGAGAGGAAAUGCUCGUACCUUGACGGUACCUUACGAGAAAGCCACGGCUAACUACGUGCCAGCAGCCGCCGUAA
rnacentral:rRNA from 1 species